UACAGAUAACCCAUUGUGUAGCUUUAUGCUUAACUUUAAACAGUUAUCACUGUCUGAAAAACAUAAUGGUUUUAAUGGAAGUUUAUAUAAAACUGGGUGACAUUACGUGCGGUAGUUACUGAAGAAUAAAUCAACAAGUAUUUUGCAGGUGAAAACACCGAAGACAACAAUGUGUGAAUUACAGGGGGAAAACAUACCAAGUGGACAUUCUGAUAAUGACUUUGUGUGAGAACUUGUUAGAAAAAUUUAAUUCCCAUUUAGACCCAACUGAGAAGUUCAUAAACGGAGAACUUGACAAAUGUCAGCAGAAUGCACUGAUGUGUUUACAAUGCUUUAUAAAUAGUACAAAACACUGGGAUCGUGAGAAACGAGGAAUAGAAAAAUAUUUCCAAACACUAAAGGAAGAUGUAUAAGAACAGAAAAAAGUCAUAGAAAGUCAAGAAAGAAAAGAUCAAGAACUAAUCAAGUAGUUAAGUGAUAUUCAAGAAGAGAUAGAGCAUUUUCUUCUGGAAGAGAAAGAACUUCAAACACUUCUAAAUUCAACUGAAACUAGUCUUCGAAGAAAAAAAAUCAGGUAUUGAAGCCAAGGAAAAAUCAUCCCAUGAAGAAGUUUUACAGUGUGAGAAAGCUUUGUCUUACUUCCAACAAAGUUCCUAGAUGUGAUCCAGAAAUUCCAGACCUAAAUCAACUGGUUGAAGAUCUGAACAAGAAUAACAACCUUUUGGAGUUUGUUUCUGCUACAAGACAAAGAUUCAAGGCCUUGCUCUAAAGUUCAUGGUUUGUAUUAAGUUUCAACAGUGUAUAAAAUAUGUGGUUUAUGGUAGAUAAAAAAUAAUGAAUAUGCAAGUUAAAAAUUACUUAAGUUAGCAACUCCAGCUCUUAUGGCAGGGUUCUCAAAUCCACCGGGAAGAUGGAGAAAAUUAAGAUUUUUGCCUCCCAGUUGAUAACUGACCAGAAAUUUUUAAAUUUUGCAAAAACAGAAUAAACUGGGAAAUGUGAAGCGUGCCUUCCAAAGUUUCUGUCAUUUCUUGCUUUCUGCCAUUUUCAUGGUCAUGCCAAUCUGUUUGAUAACAUUGCUUCUGAUUGGUUGGUAGAAAAGUUAGUAGGCAAUCUUAUGGGAAUGAUCAAGGUGGGUGUUUGGUAGUCAUAACAUGAGUUGGUUUAUGUGAUUUUACAUCAGCCUCCAUAAUGGACACACAAUAAACCAUUCAGAACUUUUACUAAAUGCAAGUACGUUGCUUAUACAUAUUCCUCCAGAUUUACAGUAUGUGACAGAACUAACAUCAUAGGGAAGUGGACCCAGUUCAGCACACUAAAGCACAAUGCUUUUUACCUAUUUGUUUUUUUAUUUUUCUUGUAAAUAAAAUCUGGCAUGAUUGUUAUUAUUAUUAUUAUCCAUGAUAAUUACAUCUUAGAACCAUAUAAUUGUUAUUAAAAAAAGCAAAAUUAGAAGGUGGUAGUUUUGUGACAUUAUAU